UACGGAGGGAGCUAGCGUUGUUCGGAAUUACUGGGCGUAAAGCGCACGUAGGCGGCUUUGUAAGUUAGAGGUGAAAGCCCGGGGCUCAACUCCGGAACUGCCUUUAAGACUGCAUCGCUUGAAUCCAGGAGAGGUGAGUGGAAUUCCGAGUGUAGAGGUGAAAUUCGUAGAUAUGGGGAGGAACACCGGUGGCGAAGGCGGCUACCUGGACGGAUACUGACGCUGAGACGCGAAAGCGUGGGUAGCAAACAGG
rnacentral:rRNA from 1 species